rnacentral:rRNA from 1 species
CCUACGGGUGGCUGCAGUGGGGAAUAUUGGACAAUGGGCGAAAGCCUGAUCCAGCCAUGCCGCGUGUGUGAAGUAGGCCUUCGGGUUGUAAAGCACUUUCAGUGGGGAAGAAAGCCUUGGGGCUAAUACCCUCGAGGAAGGACAUCACCCACAGAAGAAGCACCGGCUAACUCCGUGCCAGCAGCCGCGGUAAUACGGAGGGUGCGAGCGUUAAUCGGAAUUACUGGGCGUAAAGCGCGCGUAGGCGGUCUGAUAAGCCGGUUGUGAAAGCCCCGGGCUCAACCUGGGAACGGCAUCCGGAACUGUCAGGCUAGAGUGCAGGAGAGGAAGGUAGAAUUCCCGGUGUAGCGGUGAAAUGCGUAGAGAUCGGGAGGAAUACCAGUGGCGAAGGCGGCCUUCUGGACUGACACUGACGCUGAGGUGCGAAAGCGUGGGUAGCAAACAGGAUUAGAUACCCGAGUAGUC